rnacentral:rRNA from 1 species
AGUGAACGCUGGCGGUAGGCCUAACACAUGCAAGUCGAACGGCAGCACAGUAAGAGCUUGCUCUUACGGGUGGCGAGUGGCGGACGGGUGAGGAAUACAUCGGAAUCUACUUUUUCGUGGGGGAUAACGUGGGGAAACUUACGCUAAUACCGCAUACGACCUACGGGUGAAAGCAGGGGAUCUUCGGACCUUGCGCGAUUGAAUGAGCCGAUGUCGGAUUAGCUAGUUGGCGGGGUAAAGGCCCACCAAGGCGACGAUCCGUAGCUGGUCUGAGAGGAUGAUCAGCCACACUGGAACUGAGACACGGUCCAGACUCCUACGGGAGGCAGCAGUGGGGAAUAUUGGACAAUGGGCGCAAGCCUGAUCCAGCCAUACCGCGUGAGUGAAGAAGGCCUUCGGGUUGUAAAGCCCUUUUGUUGGGAAAGAAAAGCAGCAGGUUAAUACCCCGCUGUUCUGACGGUACCCAAAGAGUAAGCACCGGCUAACUUCGUG